rnacentral:lncRNA from 1 species
ACGGCACCGCCGCCCAUGGCGGCGAUUCGCCUCGGGUUGGCCGUUUUCGGCCGAAUUCAGCUAAAGUUGCAUUAGUUCCUGUGAUAAAACACCCCUAGGGCCCUCGGUGGGCCAAAAAAUUACAGAAAAUCGAGGCUUACCGGUGGCUGGGCUCUUGAGUGCGGCGGCUCCUUCGGCGCGAGUUACGGUUUGGUAUUUUACUCUGGUCAACCUGUAGAGAAAAGGACGGUGGUCACGGUGGUAU